rnacentral:rRNA from 1 species
UACGUAGGCAGCGAGCGUUGUCCGGAAUUACUGGGCGUAAAGAGCUCGUAGGUGGUUUGUCGCGUUGUUCGUGAAAACUCACAGCUCAACUGUGGGCGUGCGGGCGAUACGGGCAGACUGGAGUACUGCAGGGGAGACUGGAAUUCCUGGUGUAGCGGUGAAAUGCGCAGAUAUCAGGAGGAACACCAAUGGCGAAGGCAGCUCGCUGGAACGGAACUGACGCUGAGGCGCGAAAGCGUGGGGAGCGAACAGG